AUGCGCCUCGCCCGCGCGGCCCCUCUGCUCGUCCGCACGGCGGCGACGGCGGCCACCGCCGACCCAGCGGCGGCGCUGAAGGCUGGCGACGCGCUGCGCGCGCGUCCGCGGCGGUUCACGGAGGACGACGUGGCGGCGUACGCGGCGGUGAGCGGCGACCGCAACCCCGUCCACCUGGACGACGCCUUCGCCCGCGGGACGGGCGGGUUCCAGCGCGGCCGCGUGGUGCACGGCAUGCUCGUCGCCUCCCUCUUCCCCGCCCUCAUCGCAUCCCACUUCCCUGGGGCCGUGUACGCGAGCCAGUCCCUCAAGUUCGCGGCGCCGGUGUACGUCGGAGACGAGGUGGUCGCGCAGGUGCAGGCGCUCCAUAUCAAGGCCGCCGGCGCAAGGCACAUCGUCAAGUUCGCCACCAAGUGCUUCAUGGCCGAUGAAGAGACUCUCGCCAUUGACGGCCAGGCCAUGGCUUUUCUGCCCACACUGCAGCUCAGCACAGAGGCGAUGGAGUGA
rnacentral:rRNA from 1 species